rnacentral:rRNA from 1 species
AUCGAACGCUGGCGGCAGGCCUAACACAUGCAAGUCGAACGAGUGGCGGACGGGUGAGUAAUGCUUGUGAAACUGCCCGAUGGAGGGGGAUAACUACGGGAAACGGUAGCUAAUACCGCAUACCAUCGGAGGUGCCCAGAUGGGAGUAGGUAGUAGGUGGGGUAACGGCUCACCCAGGCGACGAUCCCUAGCUGGUCUGAGAGGAUGACCGGCCACACGGGAACUGAGACACGGCCCAGACUCCUACGGGAGGAGGCAGUGGGGAAUAUUGCACAAUGGGCGCAAGCCUGAUGCAGCCAUGCCGCGUGUAUGAAGAAGGCCUUCGGGUUGUAAAGUACUUUCGGCGGGGAGGCGUUAGUCGCAGAAGAAGCACCGGCUAACUCCGUGCCAGCAGCCGCGGUAAUAC